UCCACUUUUCCUUCUGCCUCUGAGCAAGAUGAAGAAAAAAAGAUGAAGCUGUUUUCCAGAGACCAGCACUUCAUCCCUGAGAAAAUGUCAAGAUUAUAGGCAUGCUCUAUAGAAGAUAAUGAGUUAAUACCGGAAAAAAAUGGCAGCAUACUGAAACGGUAAAUGGAAAGGCCAUGUUUUUUGAGUGACACCAUUAGAGUAAAAACUAGCCAGAG
rnacentral:lncRNA from 1 species